rnacentral:rRNA from 1 species
AUUGAACGCUGGCGGCAGGCUUAACACAUGCAAGUCGAGCGAGCGGCGGACGGGUGAGUAAUGUCUGGGAAACUGCCCGAUGGAGGGGGAUAACUACUGGAAACGGUAGCUAAUACCGCAUACUAUCAGAUGUCCCCAGAUGGGAUUAGCUAGUAGGUGGGGUAAUGGCUCACCUAGGCGACGAUCCCUAGCUGGUCUGAGAGGAUGACCAGCCACACUGGAACUGAGACACGGCCCAGACUCCUACGGGAGGCAGCAGUGGGGAAUAUUGCACAAUGGGCGCAAGCCUGAUGCAGCCAUGCCGCGUGUGUGAAGAAGGCCUUCUGGUUGUAAAGCACUUUCAGCGGGGAGGCGUUACUGGCAGAAGAAGCACCGGCUAACUCCGUGCCAGCAGCCGCGGUAAUUC